rnacentral:rRNA from 1 species
UUCCAGUCCAAUAGCGUAUAUUAAAGUUGUUGCAGUUAAAAAGCUCGUAGUUGAAUUUCGGGGUUAGUAGGCUGGUCAUGCCUCCGGUAUGUACUGGUCUCACUGAUUCCUCCUUCCUGAUGAACCGUAAUGCCAUUAAUUUGGUGUUGCGGGGAAUCUGGACUGUUACUUUGAAAAAAUUAGAGUGUUUAAAGCAGGCUAACGCUUGAAUACAUUAGCAUGGAAUAAUGAAAUAGGACGUUCGAUCCUAUUUUGUUGGUUUCUAGGAUUGACGUAAUGAUUAAUAGGGAUAGUUGGGGGCAUUAGUAUUCAAUUGUCAGAGGUGAAAUUCUUGGAUUUAUUGAAGACUAACUACUGCGAAAGCAUUUGCCAAGGAUGUUUUCAUUAAUCAAGAACGAAAGUUAGGGGAUCGAAGACGAUCAGAUACCGUCGUAGUCUUAACCAUAAACUAUGCCGACUAGGGAUCGG